ACCCAGAAUAGAAUUUGGGCUACAGUUGC
rnacentral:piRNA from 1 species